rnacentral:rRNA from 1 species
GGGGUAAAAAUUAAUAAAUAACAUUUAAUAAAAAAAUUUUUAUAGUAUAUUUUAAUGGGGGUUAAAGUAUAUUUUAUAGAAAAAAUUUUAAAUUUUAUAGGGAAUUAGUAUUGUGAAAGAAUUUUGAAAUAUUUUGAAAAUUAAUUUAUAAAAAAGUAAAUUUUGUUUAUUGUAUCUUGUGUAUCAGAGUUUAUUAAAAAUUAUUUUUAAUAAAAAAAUUCUCGAAUUUAAAAGAGAGAAUUAAUUAUAAAAGUUAUUGUGUCAAAAAUAUUUUUAAUAAUUAAUUUGAAAUGAAAUGUUAAUCGUUUUUAAAUAUAUCUAGUUUUUUUAGAAAUAAAUUUAAUUUAAAAUUUAUAUUAAUGAAAAUUUAAUAUUUAAUUUUUUAUUUAUAUAAAUUUAAUAUUUUAAGGGAUAAGCUUUAAAUUAAAAAUUUAUAAUUAAAAAUAAACUAUAAAUAAAUUUUUUAAAAUUUAUAUUGUUUAUAAAUUAUAUUUUUUUAUAAAAAAAUUUAUUUAAAAAAAAAUUUUAUUUAAUUUAAUUUUUUAUAAAAAAAUAUUUUUUAAUUUAUAAAAAGUAGUUAUAAUGAUAAAAUUAGUAUAAAAAUAUAUAAUUAUAGAAUAUAUUAAUAAAAUAAAUUUAAAAUAUAAAAGUAAUAAUAAUAAUAAUAUAAAGUAUAUUUUUUUUUAAGUAAGUUAAAGGAAUUCGGCAAAUAUUUAUAUUCACUUGUUUAACAAAAACAUGUCUUUUUGAGAAUAAUUUAAAGUCGAAUCUGCCCACUGAUAAAUUAUUAAAGGGCUGCAGUAUAUUGACUGUACAAAGGUAGCAUAAUCAUUAGUCUUUUAAUUGGAGACUUGUAUGAAAGAUUUGAUGAGAUAUAAGCUGUCUCUAAUUUAAAUUUAGAAUUUAAUUUUUUAGUUAAAAAGCUAAAAUAGGUUUAAAAGACGAGAAGACCCUAUAGAGUUUUAUAAUUGAAAAAAAUUUUAAUUUUUUAUUAAUUUUAAAAUAUAAAUUUUUUUAAUUAUUUUGUUGGGGUGAUAAAAAAAUUAAAAAAACUUUUUUUUUUGAUUAACAUAGAUAAGUGAGUAAAUGAUCCAUAAUUUAUGAUUAAAAGAAUAAAUUACCUUAGGGAUAACAGCGUAAUUUUUUUUUUUAGUUCAAAUAAAAAAAAAAGUUUGCGACCUCGAUGUUGGAUUAAGAUAAAAUUUAAAUGCAGAAGUUUAAAAUUUUGAUCUGUUCGAUCAUUAAAAUCUUACAUGAUCUGAGUUCAAACCGGUGUAAGCCAGGUUGGUUUCUAUCUUUAAAAAAAUAAAAUAUUUUAGUACGAAAGGAUUAAAUAUUUAAAAUAAUUUUAAUUAAAGAAUUUUAUUAAUUAAUUAUAUAUGGGGUAAUAUACAUAUAUAUAUAUAUAUAUAUAUAUAUAUAUAUUAAUUGA